GGGGGCGUAAAUGGUUUCGACGGGGGUAUAGAAGUAAGUUAAGCGAGUCGUUGUCGCCAAACAACGUAAAAAGUGGCAACAAAAAUAAACGCAAAAGAAAACAAUAAUUUAGCAUUCGCAGCGUAAGCUGCUCGCUUGUCCCGCUUAGACGACCUGCAGUUUAAGUUGGGGCAUCAUUUAAAGCAGGGAACUGCUUAAGGGGUUCUUCGACCUUAAGCUGAACAAUCGGAGAUAGCCGAUACCAUAGCUUGACGAUAGGCGAUGGUUGAGGCGAAACAUAAAUUAUCGUCUGCACUCGGAGAAAGACUUGUGGAAAUAUUUUCGGACGUGGGUUCGACUCCCACCGCCUCCAUAG
rnacentral:tmRNA from 1 species